GACGAACGUUGGCGGCGUGCCUAAUACAUGCAAGUCAACUGAAAUACCGGUAGCAAUACUGGUAUGGAGGUGGCGCACGGGUGAGUAACACGUAGGUAAUCUGCCUUCAGGUCUGACAUAACCCAUCGAAAGGUGAGCUAAUAUCAGAUGAUGCAGCGGCUUGACAUCAAGACAGUUGUUAAAGCUUCGGCGCCUGAAGAUGAGCCUGCGUCUGAUUAGCUAGUUGGCGGGGUAACGGCCCACCAAGGCUGCGAUCAGUAGCUGGUCUGAGAGGAUGAUCAGUCACACUGGAACUGAGACACGGUCCAGACUCCUACGGGAGGCAGCAGUAAGGAAUAUUGCUCAAUGGCCGAAAGGCUGAAGCAGCAACGCCGCGUGAGGGAUG
rnacentral:rRNA from 1 species